GAUGAAGAACGCAGCGAAAUGCGAUAAGUAAUGUGAAUUGCAGAAUUCAGUGAAUCAUCGGAUCUUUGAACGCACCUUGCGCCUUUUGGUAUUCCGAAAGGCACACCUGUUUUAGCGUCAUGAAUACCUCAAUCUCCAUCUUUUCUUCGGAUUGAUGGGUGACUUGGAUGUUGAGCCCUGCUGGUAUGCUAUAUCAGCUGGCUUUAAACUUAUUAGCCGGCUCUGUACUGGAUCGGUUUGACUCGACGUGAUAAUAUUAUCGUUGAGGAUGCAUGUCUCAUGCAGCCGGAAAGUAUCAAAGCAGCUUCUAGCUUGCCUUUAGUGCACUUUUACAUUUUAGACCUCAGAUCAGGUGGGACUACCCGCUGAACUUAAGCAUAUCAAUAAGCGGAGGA
rnacentral:misc_RNA from 1 species